GUACAGUUCAGGGGCUCGGGCGACCCCCGGGCGGCCCGAGGUUUACAGAGCACCGGCAAUAAAUCAGGGUUAAAGAAAAAGAGAAAAAAAACCAUCAGCAGCAGCAGAGGAGCAGAGGGAUUUGAAUACAGUAGCUACAGUGUUGAACAGGCGCGCUGAAGUAAAGUGGAGGUGAGAUGUGCGCAAACGCGCAGGAUGGCGCAACAACAAGUUGGAUACGAGAGUCCGCUCAUCAGUGUCCGGCGGCGGGACGCGGUCCUCUUACCUGCGGGCAGAGUCCCGGCAGAGUCCCGGCAGGAAGACAAACUAGAAUCCGCUCAGGCUCCAAUGAGCAAAGUUUCUUUCUCCGUCGCCUCGAGCUUCCUCCAGAACCGGUCACCGACUGUUCCUGCGGAGCGCGCGGUCCGCGGGGGGUUUUAUAGAAGAAGAAGAAGAACGCUGCACGGCGUGAUCCACCUUCACCGGAUGACGUCGGUGUGGAUAUGUUAAACAGGCUCGUUCAUUCACCACGCGAGGACCGGAGAGAGGGAGGGGGGGGCCGGGGGGGAUAAGAAGGGGAGGGAGGGGGAGAGAGGUGAGAGAGAGAAGGAGGGGGAGCGAGGGAGGGGGGAGAGAGAGGGGGGAGAGAGAGGGGGAGAAGAAGGGGGGGGAGGGAGAGAAAGAGGGGGAAGAGAGGGAGAGAGAGGGGGAGAGAGAGAAGAAGGGGAGAGAGGGAGGGGGGAGAAGAAGGGGAGGGAGGGGGAGGGGAGAGGUGAUAGAGAGAAGAAGGGGGGGAGAGAGAAGAGGGAGGGGGGGCAGAGAGAGAGAGAGAGAGAGAGAGAGGGGGAGAGAGAGAGAGAGAGAGAGAGAGAGAGAGAGAGGGGGGAAGAGAGAGGGGGAAAAGGGGGAGAGAGAGAGAAGGAGGGAGAGACAGAGGGAGGGUGGGAGAGAGAUUUGAUUUUUAAAACACAAUGUUUAUUAAGAUCUAACAGAGAGAGAGAGAGAGAGAGAGGGGGCGACUGUGUGUGUGUGUGUGUGUGUGUGUGUGUGUGUGUGUGUGUGUGUGUGUGUGUUAGAGAGAGGGGAAACUCGCUGGUAGCCAAUCAGCGGGGAGCCUCCGGAGUUGGUCGCAGGUUCGAGAGCCGGUUCCCGGGUCCGAGGCUCAGGAGGAGACGAGCAGGAACAACCAGCUCCAGCUCAGAAGUGUGA
rnacentral:lncRNA from 1 species